rnacentral:sRNA from 1 species
ACCAGCGAUAUUGCCAGGUGGUGUCAGUUAACUGCUGACCACAAGCAUUACCCAAGCCUUCGCGGAUGCGCAGGUUUUUUUU